rnacentral:lncRNA from 1 species
AUCUCUCUUUUACUUGUUUGAUCCGAGAAGUGCGUAAUAUCUUCUCAACUUGUUUCCUUCUUAGUGUGUAAUAUCUAAGUUGUAUUCAAGCUCGUAGUCUAAGAGAUUUACAACUCUCUUGGAAGUACAAAACGUUCCACCUUCAAUCCGCUGCAACCGUUCAUCCGUUUGUCCGUUCAUCUUCCACCUUCGAUCUCGCUCUUCUUCCAUUCCGCUGCAUCCUUCAUGUUCAAAACCAACAAAGUGUGUUCUUGGGAGUAGAUCCUCAUCUAGGAGUCUAUCAUGUGGUAUCAGAGCCACUUUAUUACCAGGUUUUGAUGUUCCAACCCUAAAUUUUCUGUUUUUCUCGAUUUCACCUUUUUUCCAGAUUUCUGAUCGCAUCUUGUUUUAAUUUUUAAAAAUAAUUGGCUCGUUGAAAAAUUGUGAAACCAAUUGCGUUCGAACCAAUAACGAUUCUAGUAUUUUUGAAAAUUUAUUUUCGAAUUUUUGGAAUCGUUUUGAUAUUUUUCCAGAUCCGUUUAGAUUUGUCUGUUUUUGGACUAUUUACUUGUUAGAUUUUCGAUUUUUCAGGUACAAUGGUGACAUCUGAAGACGAAGAGUCAUCCACCUCUAGCUUGGAGAGAAAAAUCUUGAAAUCCGUCACAGCUGCAGUGGCAACAAUGAUCGACGAGAAGCUUGGUGCUCUACACUUGAAUCAAAUCAACCCGGAACCAAAUCAACGUCAAAGGCAGCAACAAGAGGAACCAAGGCAAUAUGAUGAAGAAAGAAAUUACUACAGCCACGCCUCCUCUUACAAUAGUCAACGUAGGCAGCGAAGAGAAAGACCCCAGCCUAGAGAUCCUUUGGGAAAAAUAAAACUCAAGAUUCCCGCUUUUCAUGGAACCAACAAUCCGGAUACUUACUUGGAGUGGGAGCAGAAAAUUGAGUUAGUCUUUGUUUGCCAAGAGUGUACCGAGGCCAACAAGGUUAAAGUUGCGUCUACUGAAUUUCAGAAUUAUGCACUAAGCUGGUGGGAUCAUUUGGUUACUACAAGGAGACGUGUAGGGGAUUAUCCAGUAGAGACUUGGACUGAAAUGAAGAACAUAAUGAGAAAGAGAUUCGUACCAAGUCACUACCAUAGAGAGCCACCACCAAGGAGACCCCAAGAGAAGCCUAACUGGAGAAGCAGAUCAGUAAGAGAUAAAGCAAACUAAACCACUUCUGAACCAGCUGAGUACACAAAUAGAUUAUGAAGAAGUGCACAAGCGGGUGAUGGAAGCAUUUAAGGCUGUUGAGAAAAGCCAAAAGAAAAAUCCAAGCACUACCAAAUCUGUUGGUUCUGAAACAGCAAAUGAGAGACCAAGUUGUCUUAAGAGGGGAAUGGUUAUUCAAAAAUCAGAAUCAGAUCAGUCUUUACCAAUCGGCAAGGAGCUUAUUGUGCUAGAAGAAAAUUCUGAAAACAGCAACAAAGAGAAGGUGGAGACUCAACCAUACAACGCUGAUCAAAACCAGCAACACUUAAGCAACAAGGAAGAGCAAACUGAAAACAAAACUCUGAAGCAUCUCACCUCCUUACAAGCUAAGUGUACUCUUUCUUGUAUUCAAUCUGAUUUUGUGCUUGACAAACUAACCCAUUUUGAACCGGAGCAACCGAGUAGUAUUGUUCUUCUUUCACAGUUACUUGAGGAAAAAUCAUUAGAAGGAGAACCGAGGAGUUUGUCAUUGAUUAGUGAAAUGGAACGGCCAACCAGCCAUGUGCCAAAACAUGUCAUUAUGCCUUUUUCUGGUGAUUACCCAAGAAAGCACUGUAAGGAAAUUGAUUUGGUUAAAACUGAACCUAAUUUGUUUAUGUUGGUUUCUGCUCAAGAUGAAAAACGUUUUGGUUUUGAAAAUGUGAAGGAAUUUCGUGUUUCAAAAUCUGUUUUUGAUAAAAUGAUUCCAACCUUUAUAGCAUUUACACUUAAAGAGUUCUUUAAGAAAAAAGGUUUUCUGUUUGAUGAGUUUUGUGAAUUUAACUCUUCUUUGAGAAUUUCUUUGUGUAGCAAUGCAUUUGAGCUGUUUAAAAGUAAAGAUGAAUAUGCAUUGGUUAAAACAUUCUCUGAAUUGAAACAUGUGCUUAAAAACGUGUCAUGUGAAUCAAAUCCAUUCAUUGAGCUUUGCAACACAAGUGUUAAUGAUCAUGUUCUUAAAUUCUCUAUUUCAAGUAUGAUGCAUUUGUUCUAUCCCAUGAGUGCUCAAAAAGGAAUAGGAGUUGUGGAGAAGUAUAAGUACUUAAGAGAAGUGAUAUCAAGGAAAGACUCAUUAAAGGUUCAACUACUAAGCCAUGAAAACUUGAAAGGAGUUGAAGGUGCAUUGAACAUAUUGACAAUCAAGGAAAAGCCACCAGAAUUGCAUCUGCCUCAAUCCCUCCGCAAAGAACGCAAACAAGGAACCAUGAGCAGGAUUGGAGAAUUAACUCAAGCUGAAGAAGUUCGGGUCCAAAAUCAAUUACCUAGAGCUGAAUACAGUAGUGUUAUCAAGGAGAAACCACCAGAUGCUAAACCACCAAUUAAAACCCGAGGUAAUUAUCUAAACUCCCAAAAACGAAUGAAAGCUAAUUUGCUUUCUCUUGGUGAAGGUUGUACAAUUUGGAGGCCAAUCAAGAAGACUAAUGAUCGGGAGAUAAGCACUCAUCAUAUGAGUCAAUCAAGAGAUCCUCGUGAAGAUUAUCAAAAUCAACUUUGGCUAAAGCACAAAGAAGAACGCAUAGGCAAUCAAUCAAAUUUCUUUGUGAGCAUUGGUGAAGUUAAGAAACCGAUGUUAUCAAAACUCCCUUUAUUGUUGUUUAAUUAUAAGGAAGCUCUCAUGAGCUUGACUAACCCUACACCGGUGCUCCCGAGUGAGAUGAUGUCUCUUUUGCAGGAUUAUGACGACAUGCUCUUUGAGGACAAACCUAUAGGACUACCACCCAUACAUGAUGCAUCUCAAAGCCACGUUUGGAGACCAGAAGACUAUUUAGGACGUUCAAGUCCUACACCACACGAGAUUUUGAUCACUUUACUUCACAUAUUUUUCGAAGAGCCUAAAAUGGAUCUCUCUUCACUUGGUUCGUUUCAUACCUAUCAAUGGCGACCAGGAGAGUUUUUAGAUACCUAUAAAGAGGACGAGUUUGUCACCAACAAUGCCUUGAUCCAAGAAGAACCCCCGGAUCCAACACCACUUCCAUUAAUCGUGAUGAUAUCAAGCACCGAAGACACCACGAACCUUAUUCAGGUAAGUAGCUCUUUAACUCGAUUUGUUUCUCAUGUUUCAAGAACUGUUACGAGGAGUUUAUCACAUUUAGGAAACUUUGAGAAAGAGUUAGAAUUAUUUAAAGAAAAUUUGGAACCAAAUUCUUAUCUUAGAACACAAGUAAAACAUGAACAUUUCAAGGAUAAUGCAUUGAUCAAAGUUGAGGCUUGUUUACUUGUUUAUAGUGAUUCCAUGACUAUGAUAACGCACUUGCUUUUUGCCAAAGGUGUUGACAACAUUGCAGGUAUAAAAGAUGAGCCACCGGACUUAGAAUUUCUCUCGUCCAAUCUCUUUGAGAGGACUGGAAUUGGAGUUGUUUUAAUGCCAAAGAUCGAUUACCCAUUCAACCGAACAAGAAGAAAAAGCGACAAUGCUUAUGAACUUGAGCUGCAAGGUAAGUAUAAUGUGAGUUCCAAUUUCAAUGAUUCUUACUUGGUUCUUUUCAUUGUAGGUGAAUUGGAUUUGAGGUCAAAUCCUUUUCAAGUGGGAGAGGAUGAUGUGAUCAUGGAAAGCACAAAGGACUUGGAACUUGAUAAAGAGCUUGUAGCCGAGGAAGAGCUUGAAGCAGAGGAGCAGCUUGAACCUGAGGAGCGUUUUGAACUAAAGAAUGAGCUUGUAGCGGAGAAAGAGUAUGGAAAAGAUGUUAUCUUAACCUCAUUGGUUUUGAUACAUGAUCAUCAAAUGGGCAUGUGUCUCAUUUGUACUCUUUUUCCCUUGUCAAGUUUUGUCCCAAUGGGUUUUCUUGACAAGGUUUUUAAUGAGGCAAAUGAUUCACAUUCAAAUCACCCAUUUGUUGAUCCAGCCCAUGGAAUAACAUUCAGAAGUCUACCCCAUCAGAUAUAUAUGGAGUCCAGCCCAUUUUAUUGCCAUUACAAGCCCAAGAAGACUCCAAACCAAGUGCUUAAUUUGCUGGCCAAGAGGAGUGACGAAAAUAGGAGUUCAAGAGUCAUCUUUGAAGCCAAAGGGUCUUUUCUAUUCAAAUUCUGUCUUUAAUAUUUUGUUAAGUUUCUAGGCAGCCUUGGAGCUUGUUCCAAGACUUGUCUCUCUACAUUCUCUUCUCUCCUUCUCCUCUAUAUAUUCUCUAUGUAUUCUCUUAUGAGAACUAAUCAAACAUUUUAUCAAAAAUCUCUCUUUUACUUGUUUGAUCCGAGAAGUGCGUAAUAUCUUCUCAACUUGUUUCCUUCUUAGUGUGUAAUAUCUAAGUUGUAUUCAAGCUCGUAGUCUAAGAGAUUUACACCUCUCUUGGAAGUACAAAACGUUCCACCUUCAAUCCGCUGCAACCGUUCAUCCGUUUGUCCGUUCAUCUUCCACCUUCGAUCUCGCUCUUCUUCCAUUCCGCUGCAUCCUUCAUGUUCAAAACCAACAAAGUGUGUUCUUGGGAGUAGAUCCUCAUCUAGGAGUCUAUCA